AUUGAACGCUGGCGGCAGGCCUAACACAUGCAAGUCGAACGAGUGGCGGACGGGUUAGUAAUGUAUGGGAAACUGCCCGAUGGAGGGGGAUCACUACUGGAAACGGUAGCUAAUACCGCCUACCAUCGGAUAUGCCCAAGUGGGAUUAGCUAGUGGGUGGGGUAACGGCACACUUGGGCGACGAUCCCUAGCUGGUCUGAGAGGAUGACCAUCAACACGGGAACUGAGACACGGUCCAGACUCCUACGGGAGGCAGCAGUGGGGAAUAUUGGACAAUGGGCGAAAGCCUGAUGCAGCCAUGCCGCGGGUAUGAAGAAGGCCUUCGGGUGGUAAAGUACUUUAAGCGAGGAGGCGUUACUCGCAGAAGAAGCACCGGCUAACUCCGUGCCAGCAGCCGCGGUAAUAC
rnacentral:rRNA from 1 species